CUGAGGAUGGAGCUCAGGGGUAGAGCACUUGCCUAGCAUGCAGGAGGCCCUGCGUUCCACCCCCAGCUCCUAAA
rnacentral:tRNA from 1 species